ensembl:miRNA aca-mir-1a-2 aca-mir-1a-2
UUACCUGCUUGAGUGACAUACUUCUUUAUAUGCCCAUAUGAACCUGGCAAACUAUGGAAUGUAAAGAAGUAUGUAUUUCAGGUAUGGACC